CUGGGAGGACCAUCUCCUAAGGCUAAAUACUCUCUAGUGACCGAUAGUGAACCAGUACCGUGAGGGAAAGGUGAAAAGCACCCCGGAAGGGGAGUGAAAUAGAACCUGAAACCGUGUGCUUACAAGUAGUCAGAGCCCGUUAAUGGGUGAUGGCGUGCCUUUUGUAGAAUGAACCGGCGAGUUACGAUUUGAUGCAAGGUUAAGCAGUAAAUGUGGAGCCGUAGCGAAAGCGAGUCUGAAUAGGGCGUUUAGUAUUUGGUCGUAGACCCGAAACCAGGUGAUCUACCCUUGGUCAGGUUGAAGUUCAGGUAACACUGAAUGGAGGACCGAACCGACUUACGUUGAAAAGUGAGCGGAUGAACUGAGGGUAGCGGAGAAAUUCCAAUCGAACCUGGAGAUAGCUGGUUCUCUCCGAAAUAGCUUUAGGGCUAGCCUCAAGUGAUGAUUAUUGGAGGUAGAGCACUGUUUGGACGAGGGGCCCCUCUCGGGUUACCGAAUUCAGACAAACUCCGAAUGCCAAUUAAUUUAACUUGGGAGUCAGAACAUGGGUGAUAAGGUCCGUGUUCGAAAGGGAAACAGCCCAGACCACCAGCUAAGGUCCCAAAAUAUAUGUUAAGUGGAAAAGGAUGUGGCGUUGCCCAGACAACUAGGAUGUUGGCUUAGAAGCAGCCAUCAUUUAAAGAGUGCGUAAUAGCUCACUAGUCGAGUGACACUGCGCCGAAAAUGUACCGGGGCUAAACAUAUUACCGAAGCUGUGGAUUGUCCUUUGGACAAUGGUAGGAGAGCGUUCUAAGGGCGUUGAAGCAUGAUCGUAAGGACAUGUGGAGCGCUUAGAAGUGAGAAUGCCGGUGUGAGUAGCGAAAGACGGGUGAGAAUCCCGUCCACCGAUUGACUAAGGUUUCCAGAGGAAGGCUCGUCCGCUCUGGGUUAGUCGGGUCCUAAGCUGAGGCCGACAGGCGUAGGCGAUGGAUAACAGGUUGAUAUUCCUGUACCACCUAUAAUCGUUUUAAUCGAUGGGGGGACGCAGUAGGAUAGGCGAAGCGUGCGAUUGGAUUGCACGUCUAAGCAGUAAGGCUGAGUAUUAGGCAAAUCCGGUACUCGUUAAGGCUGAGCUGUGAUGGGGAGAAGACAUUGUGUCUUCGAGUCGUUGAUUUCACACUGCCGAGAAAAGCCUCUAGAUAGAAAAUAGGUGCCCGUACCGCAAACCGACACAGGUAGUCAAGAUGAGAAUUCUAAGGUGAGCGAGCGAACUCUCGUUAAGGAACUCGGCAAAAUGACCCCGUAACUUCGGGAGAAGGGGUGCUCUUUAGGGUUAACGCCCAGAAGAGCCGCAGUGAAUAGGCCCAAGCGACUGUUUAUCAAAAACACAGGUCUCUGCUAAACCGUAAGGUGAUGUAUAGGGGCUGACGCCUGCCCGGUGCUGGAAGGUUAAGAGGAGUGGUUAGCUUCUGCGAAGCUACGAAUCGAAGCCCCAGUAAACGGCGGCCGUAACUAUAACGGUCCUAAGGUAGCGAAAUUCCUUGUCGGGUAAGUUCCGACCCGCACGAAAGGCGUAACGAUUUGGGCACUGUCUCAACGAGAGACUCGGUGAAAUCAUAGUACCUGUGAAGAUGCAGGUUACCCGCGACAGGACGGAAAGACCCCGUGGAGCUUUACUGUAGCCUGAUAUUGAAAUUCGGCACAGCUUGUACAGGAUAGGUAGGAGCCUUUGAAACGUGAGCGCUAGCUUACGUGGAGGCGCUGGUGGG
rnacentral:rRNA from 1 species